CACACCGACACACGUUUUGUUCGUUUAAUCAACGUUUCCCCUCAGCACAAGUUUCACUUUUUAAUUGCUAAACUGAUCAAUUCGAAUUGGAUUAUUCAUCCGAGUGUAAAUUAUGUUUCUGGUUUGAACCGUCAUCAUCUCUCAAUUUUGUAUUAUUAUUUUUAAAGCCACAAUUCUGAAUUUCUGAACAGAGGAUGGAAUAAUCCUGCCAUGAAAUGCUCAUAAUGUGACUUCUACACUAGACACAAAUGUUCACAGAGUAAUCAAGGGCCACAGGCCCACAGCAGUCACUUGAAGUAUAGUUCAAGUUCAAGAACACCUUCACAGUGGUUUCUUACAAGAGAUUCACAUACUUAUCAUAUCCCAGCCUGAAGUCCAUUUGUAAGGUAAAUUUUAACUUUAAAAUGACUGCCACAUCAACAUCAAAGCUGAGGGAGACGCAUUAGUCGAUGAGAGCGCAUGGAUCCUUAUAGCUUGCUUAUAGCUCAACGUGAAUCCGCCACUAGCCGCAACACCUUCACCUAUGAUCGCUGCGAUCUGAACUGUAAUAAUGCGGCCGCUCUGUCAUCGUUGCCCAAUUACCCAAGCCUGGUACGAAGCUGUCCUGUAAUACACCGCUCCCCGUAGGUAUCAUCCUGGGUCACUUCUACUCCCACCUUCUGUGCAACAGCAGGAGUGAGUUACAAAAAUCAAUUUUUCUUUUCUUUAGAAUAAUUUAUUGCUCUCACCAGCCUACAACAUAUGAUAUGAGCACACCUUCCUCUACCUAGGCUAAAAAAACACUUCGAAAUUCUCAGUAACAAGUGAAAAUUGUUACCGUAAGAUGUCGUUUGAUUCGAAUUCAGCUGAUCAACCCCUCCCCCCCAGCCCCCUCAACAUUUUAUUACCUGUUAACCUGUUUACUGUUUCUGCUUGCGCUUGUCUAGUUGGCUAGUUCUAGUUGGAUGCUUGGCUUCUUCAAUUCUUCAUGGAAAUAUAUCUUCAUAGUUGUUCAUGGAAAGUCGUACGACUGGCCCUGCCUUCCACAAUUGAACUCAACAUGUGGUCAAUCCAGAUUGCUGAAUGCUAACGACGAAGGUUGAUUUCCCUUCUUCAAUUGAACACUAGUUUGAAAUCCUUGGGACCCCAUUGCCAAGUUCAUAUCUGCUUCUUGUCUGACGAAGAACAAUGGCAGCCAUUGUAACACACACAACCAUCAUAUCCUAGACUUGGCUAGUGAGGAGGAUUUCUUGAUCUAGCCUGCUGCUAUAGCUGCCAUCCAACUUUACCAGGCAAUAAGUUUGGUUUGAAGUCUGAAAAAAAUCCCAAAUGUAACAAGAUGUUAAAGUAAGUUUCAAUUAUUACAAAAAUAAAAUCUGAUGCUGCUCAUUAAUUUGUAAUUCAGGAACUUUCACUUCGAUGGUCUCCAUUAUUGGCUCCAACCCCGCUGCUUUGUUGAUAAAGGAGUUGGUUCUGAGUGGCAAACUCACUGAGUAUUGUGUGGUUUUUUCCUCUCCUAUUACUUGUGCAUGCAAUGUGAGAAGCUGUUGACCUCUUCGUGGGAUCUCUGGAAGGAAAACCUCACCAAGACAAAGGAUUGAAUGGUGACAUUUUUUCGAUUAUUUAGUUGGCUUCACCUUCGGCGUCAAUAAAUAGCGUCCAUGCAAGACCGAUACCUUCAACAAGUACACCCUCCGCAUGUCCUAUGAAGCCUUACGUCGGUUGAUUGACAGCAUAAUGGACAAGGCAAUAAAUAAUGUUUGAAUAUUUAUUAGAUUUUGUGUUUCGAUGGCUAUUUGAUUUGCUGGGGACCCAUUAAAUAAUAGGAACAGAACAGGCACUCGUCAGGGGGCAGAGAGUUUAGUGUCCGUGGCAAAUAUCCGCCAUUUAUUUUCUAGCCAGUUUCGGAAAUGGUGUUUGUGAUGAAAGUGGUGGUAGGUAAGACAAGGGUAAAAGACUUUUUGCAUCAAGUUGAACAGUGGUUGUUCUUUGAAGAUAAUUUCAUGUUGCGGAAGUUGCAACCAGUAUGUUGUUGUAUUGUCUGCAGUAUACUGUUUUUAUCUUGAGAAGAGAAAAAAGUUUUAUAUUAAAUCAAUAAUAAACGAUCGAAAUUGGGAAUAUUA